GAUAUGUUAGUUUAAAAAGAAUAUUAAACUGUAAAUUUAAAGAUUAUACAUAUUA
rnacentral:tRNA from 1 species